rnacentral:rRNA from 1 species
AGUUUGAUCAUGGCUCAGAUUGAACGCUGGCGGCAUGCCUUACACAUGCAAGUCGAACGGCAGCACGGGAGCUUGCUCCUGGUGGCGAGUGGCGAACGGGCGAGUAAUACAUCGGAACGUACCCUGAAGUGGGGGAUAACGUAGCGAAAGUUACGCUAAUACCGCAUAUUCUGUGAGCAGGAAAGAGGGGGAUCGCAAGACCUCUUGCUUUAGGAGCGGCCGAUGUCGGAUUAGCUAGUUGGUGAGGUAAAGGCUCACCAAGGCGACGAUCCGUAGCGGGGUCUGAGAGGAUGAUCCGCCACACUGGGACUGAGACACGGCCCAGACUCCUACGGGAGGCAGCAGUGGGGAAUUUUGGACAAUGGGCGCAAGCCUGAUCCAGCCAUGCCGCGUGAGUGAAGAAGGCCUUCGGGUUGUAAAGCUCUUUCGGUGGGGAAGAAAUUGCUUCGGUUAAUACCUGGAGUAGAUGACGGUACCCGCAUAAGAAGCACCGGCUAACUACGUG